GGAAGACUAUUUUCAGAUGCCUCCAGGAAGAUGUCCCCAGCAGUUGUGGGUGGAGGGGCAGGACCCCAGCUCAAUUUAACUUUGCAAUAGACUUUCCCCAUUCAGCUGGAGACUCCCACUUUCCUCUCAGCUGUUAGUCCUCUUUUACUUCCACUCUCCUUUCUUUCCCAUUCUACUGACUGUCCCAUCGUCGUGUCAAAGAACAUGGAUGUUAUUUUCACACCUAUCCAUGUAGUACACAAAUGGAAACAACUUGUUGCAUUUACUUUCUAGCUUACUGGUCACAGAGUGUUCCCAAAAUUAUGAUCUUACUUGAUCCUCAGCCUUCUCAUGAGGAUGGGUCUUUCUGAGAGGGAAGAAGGAGCAUCCCAGAGGGAAUGACAUGUGCAACGAGCCUGUGGAAAGAGGGCAGAGAGAGAUCAAAGGCCUGAGACAACCAGCAUCGAGCUAAAGUGGGCUGAUGAGAGGGAAGGGGAGGAGAGGACAGACCAAGGAGGCAGGAUAAUGAGAGCUUCCUGCGCACCAGGCCCCAUUAGAAAUGCUUACCACAUUCAAUUCACAACCACCUUAGGAGAUAGGUACCAUUAUUGCCUCAUUCAUAGA
ensembl:lncRNA